UCCUGCUCCUCGCCGCUGGGAACCUGCAGCUCACUCAGCAACCGCUGUCCCUGGGACUCUCUACAGUGGAGCGCCCAGGGACCCUUUCAAGGGCGCCCCUAACACUGAGCUGCAAGGCAGGGGGUUAAAGGGGAAGCAGAGGUGCAGCGUGCAGGGAAGAAGGAGUUAGGGCGGAACUCAGCUGUGAGAACACAGCAGGUGGAGGCCACGGGGCCAGCACACGAGAGGCGCUGCCCUUUCCCCAGGGAAGACAGGCGAGGGGACAAGACCAGCAAGGGUGAGUCCGCUCCCCACUGCAGGGUCCGUGGUGGACCCCAUUUCGUCUCAAGGCCUGCCUCUGGGAGCCAUUCCGGUCUCCAAGCCUCCGCUGGGAGCGAAUUCUAAGAAUUGGCCAAAGGAAAAGCCCUGCAAAGGCUCGUAGCGUCCCAAGUCCUCGAGAGGAAUGCCUCAUUUCAACAUCUCAGCAAGUCUGGGAGGCCAUCCUCACCAUUUCAUAGGUGGGGCCGGUAAGGCGCGGGAAGCCUUACCACUCUGGAACCACCACCCCGGUCCCUCAGAGACAGAGGAAGGAUGCGAGGGGAAGUCUAGGCUCAUCUUGGCACUGCUUCCCCCAACUGCCAGGGAAGAGAGGCUUGAGCAGGCACCUGUCAUCUGUCUGCCAUAGCUCCAUCAAAGAGUAAUGUCUGGCCUGACCCCAAUGCCCAUCCAGGAUGACUGGAGGUGCUGCCCCAAGCACCAUCCUCUCCGAGUGCUCGGGGCUUCCCAAGAAUGUAACUAUGGUCGCAUAGCAAAAGUGAGCAAGGCUGCAGUGCAGCAGCCCAGAGAAAACACAACUGAACCUCAUCAAUCAAUUUCCAUCCCACCACCUUGACUUGACUGCAGGCUGCCUGGGAACCCCACACUUCUCCUCUCUUUCCAGAAGAAGCGGUCUCAGCGGAGUUGUUUCCUAACGUAGCACAUUUGUUGCAGACAGCUACAGAGAGCAAAAAUAUGCUAUGGGCCAUCCACUUAAAGGAAACAGGCACGGGUAUUGCUCAACCUGCCGAGUUCAGCCCUGGCUCAUGAACUCAGUUCCAUGCACUGCGUCUGCACUGGGGAUCCAUGUGCAGAGGGGCCAGAUCAAAACCCCGGACUCUGAAUACAUGGAAAAAUUAAAGAAUUAAGCGAGGGCCUGGAAAACAAGGCUAGCAGGAAGUCGGAGGAACUGACAAACAACUGGGAAGAUGAAGCUACCGAGGAUGGGCUGCAGGAGCCAAGAAGUUAGAAUCUGCAAGCCUGCGCCGAGUGCUCCAGUCAGCCAGCACUAGAUGAUUUACUGCUGAAUCCAGCCCCUCUAUGGACCAGCCUCCAAGUCACAUGGACCGUAAGGAAUGGUUUGAGACCAUCCCAAGAAAUAUUUGGGCAGCUCAAGAGAUGCAGAAACUGUUGCCCAUCCCCAUGUUUCAAGAACAAACAAGUAAAAGCUAAACCAGGGCCAAGCGCUCUGAGACUCGCUCCCCGCCACCCAGCCCUAGCCCAGUGUCCCCUGGACAGGGCUCAUGCCCUGCUGAGCCCCUGAUGCUGAAGUCAGGGGAGAAGGAGCCCGCCUCAUUGGCAGGGGUCAUUCCUCACUGUUCAGGCAGUAAACUAAGCCUUCUUGUCAUUUAUGGCUAUUUUGUCACCUUUACCAUUGUCAUCAGUGGCUGGCAAGAAUAUCCACGUGAGUUGAAGUUUACUGUCUGUCCUUUUAUUCUUCUGUCCUCUUUCUCUAUCUCAUAAUUAAAAAUUCCAUUUAACUGUUUUGUGUAUUUUGGCAGACACUGUUGGCUUCCUAUCCUAAAUUCUUCCCUACCUUCUUCCUGGAAAGCCUGGCUUUCCCUCUGGCUUUCUGGUUCAGGUGACUAUUCUUCCUCCACACAACUUGAGGAAGGGUAACCCUUUUCUCUCCCCAAAGGAAACCCUGAUGGACUAGGUCACCCUGUAAUCCCAUUCCCCUUGCCAGUGACUGGGCUGGGAAUGGGCAUUUGAUGCAAUUUUGGCCAACGGGCCAUGAAAGAGUGUGUACUCAUGUGUCUUCAAGAGACACAAAAGAACCAGGUCAGAGGACUUCUACUGCCUGCAAGUCUUGAAGUCUUAUUCCAAAGCAACAGUAAUUAAGACAGCAUGGGAAAGGCAAGAGGAAAGACAAAUAAGUCAAUAGAACAGGACAGAGUCCAGAAAUAGAUCUAUACAUAGAUAACCAAUUGACUUUUUUUUUAAAUUUUUGUG
rnacentral:lncRNA from 1 species